ACUACACCUGUUGUAUUCAGCAUUUCACUGUGAGGUCUACUACACCUGUUGUAUUCAGCAUUCCACUGUGAGGUCUACUACACCUGUUGUAUUCAGCAUUCCACUGUAAGGUCUACUACACCUGUUGUAUUCAGCAUUUCACUGUGAGGUCUACUACACCUGUUGUAUUCAGCAUUUCACUGUAAGGUCUACUACACCUGUUGUAUUCAGCAUUCCACUGUAAGGUCUACUACACCUGUUGUAUUCAGCAUUUCACUGUGAGGUCUACUACACCUGUUGUAUUCAGCAUUUCACUGUGAGGUCUACUACACCUGUUGUAUUCAGCAUUUCACUGUAAGGUCUACUACACCUGUUGUAUUCAGCAUUCCACUGUAAGGUCUACUACACCUGUUGUAUUCAGCAUUCCACUGUAAGGUCUACUACACCUGUUGUAUUCAGCAUUUCACUGUAAGGUCUACUACACCUGUUGUAUUCAGCAUUCCACUGUAAGGUCUACUACACCUGUUGUAUUCAGCAUUCCACUGUAAGGUCUACUACACCUGUUGUAUUCAGCAUUUCACUGUAAGGUCUACUACACCUGUUGUAUUCAGCAUUUCACUGUGAGGUCUACUACACCUGUUGUAUUCAGCAUUCC